rnacentral:rRNA from 1 species
UACGAAGGGGGCUAGCGUUGCUCGGAAUUACUGGGCGUAAAGGGAGCGUAGGCGGAUAGUUCAGUCAGAGGUGAAAGCCCAGGGCUCGACCUUGGAAUUGCCUUUGAUACUGGCUGUCUUGAGUAUGGGAGAGGUUAGCGGAACUCCGAGUGUAGAGGUGAAAUUCGUAGAUAUUCGGAAGAACACCAGUGGCGAAGGCGGCUAACUGGCCCAUUACUGACGCUGAGGCUCGAAAGCGUGGGGAGCAAACAGG